rnacentral:rRNA from 1 species
UACGUAGGGUGCAAGCGUUGUCCGGAAUUAUUGGGCGUAAAGAGCUCGUAGGCGGUCUGUCGCGUCGAAUGUGAAAACCCGGGGCUCAACCCCGGGCCUGCAUUCGAUACGGGCAGACUAGAGUUCGGUAGGGGAGUCUGGAAUUCCUGGUGUAGCGGUGAAAUGCGCAGAUAUCGGGAGGAACACCAAUGGCGAAGGCAGCUCGCUGGGACGGUACUGACGCUGAGGCGCGAAAGCGUGGGGAGCAAACAGG